rnacentral:misc_RNA from 1 species
AACGCACAUGGCACCCGAGACCUUGGUCGAGGGUAUGUCUGUCUCAGAGUCGGCGUGAUAACAUCCCCGAAGGCAUCGGCCCGAGGGGGAGCUGGCUUUCCCAAGGGGGCGCCCUCGCGUGCCCCGUGGGUCUGCCGAAGGGAAGAAACGGAGGACCGGGACAUACAACCGGGCAGCCACGAUUUGGUGGGAGGAUCUUCGUAUCCGCAUCAUCGUCGUGAGUCCGGACGGGCCCGUGUCGCACCGCCUUGCAGGAAAACAAACUUUCAGUUCCGACCUGAGAUCAGGCAAGAUCACCCGCUGAACUUAA